rnacentral:misc_RNA from 1 species
GGUGAAGAACGCAGCGAAAUGCGAUAAGUAAUGUGAAUUGCAGAAUUCAGUGAAUCAUCGAAUCUUUGAACGCACCUUGCGCUCCUUGGUAUUCCGAGGAGCAUGCCUGUUUGAGUGUCAUUAAUAUAUCAACCUCUUCAGCUUAUGCUUGUUGAGUGUUGGAUGGUGGGGGUUUGCUGGUGUCUUAUGAAGUCAGCUCCUCUGAAAUGCAUUAGCGGAACAAUUUGUUGACCGUUCAUUGGUGUGAUAAAAAUAUCUACGCUAUUGACGUCAGUCAGUUCAGCUUCUAACAGUCCAUUGACUUGGACAAAUUUUUCAUUAAUGUGACCUCAAAUCAGGUAGGACUACCCGCUGAACUUAAGCAUAUCAUAAGCGGAGGA